CACGUAGGGGGCAAGCGUUGUCCGGAUUUAUUGGGCGUAAAGAGCUCGUAGGCGGUUCGGUAAGUCGGGUGUGAAACCUCCAGGCUCAACCUGGAGACGCCACCUGAUACUGCUGUGACUUGAGUCCGGUAGGGGAGCGUGGAAUUCCUGGUGUAGCGGUGAAAUGCGCAGAUAUCAGGAGGAACACCAGCGGCGAAGGCGGCGCUCUGGGCCGGUACUGACGCUGAGGAGCGAAAGCGUGGGUAGCAAACAGG
rnacentral:rRNA from 1 species